rnacentral:rRNA from 1 species
GCAAAUAUUCAAGUGAGAACCUUGAAGACUGAAGUGGAGAAAGGUUCCAUGGAAACAGCAGUUGGACAUGGGUUAGUCGAUCCUAAGAGAUGGGGAAGCUCCGUUUCAAAGGCCUGAUUUUUCAGGCCACCAUCGAAAGGGAAUCUGGUUAAAAUUCCAGAACUUGGAUAUGGAUUAUUCACGGUAACGUAACUGAAUGUGAAGACGUCGGUAUGAGCCCUGGGAGGAGUUCUCUUUUCUUCUUAACAGCUUAACACCCUGGAAUUGGUUUAUCCGGAGAUAGGGUCUUAUGGCUGGAAGAGCGUAGUACUUUUGCUGCGUCCUGCGCUC